rnacentral:rRNA from 1 species
GCCUAUGGUCAUACCUCCCUGAACAUGCCUGAGCUCAUCCGAUCUUGGAAGCUAAGCAGGAUUGGGCCUGGUUAAUACUUGGAUGGAUAAAAGCU